rnacentral:rRNA from 1 species
UACGUAGGGUGCGAGGGUUGUCCGGAAUUAUUGGGCGUAAAGAGCUUGUAGGCGGUUUGUCACGUCUGCUGUGAAAACUGGAGGCUCAACCUCCAGCCUGCAGUGGGUACGGGCAGACUAGAGUGCGGUAGGGGAGAUUGGAAUUCCUGGUGUAGCGGUGGAAUGCGCAGAUAUCAGGAGGAACACCGAUGGCGAAGGCGGGUCUCUGGGCCGUAACUGACGCUGAGGAGCGAAAGCGUGGGGAGCGAACAGG